AUGAUGACAUCGGUGGGCACUAACUGAGCCCGGGGAAACUGGGAACAACCUCAAAACCAAAACCAGACACAGCAUAAGCAGUGGCCACAGGCCAUUGCAGAACAAAUUCGACUUGCACAGAUGAUUUCCGACCAUAAUGACUGACUUUGAAGAGAAGGUAAAACAAUUGAUUGAUAUUACAGGAAAGAACCAGGAUGAAUGUGUGAUUGCUUUACAUGACUGCAAUGGAGAUGUCAACAGAGCCAUCAAUGUUCUGCUGGAAGGAAACCCAGAUACGCAUUCCUGGGAGAUGGUUGGGAAGAAGAAGGGAGUCUCAGGACAGAAGGAUGGUGGCCAGACAGAAUCCAAUGAAGAAGGCAAAGAAAAUCAAGACCACGACAGAGACUAUAGUUGGCAAUGUGGCGGGCCACCAAGACGAGGGAGAGGUGCCAGCCGUGGACGAGAGUUUCGAGGUCAGGAAAAUGGAUUGGAUGGCACCAAGAGUGGAGGGCCUUCUGGAAGAGGCACAGAAAGAGGCAGAAGGGGCCAUGGCCGAGGCAGAGAUGGCUCCAGCAGGUGAGGAGGAAGGUUUUCUGCUCAAGGAAUGGGAACCUUUAACCCAGCUGAUUAUGCAGAACCAGCCAAUACUGAUGAUAACUAUGGCAAUAGUAGCAGCAAUACGUGGAACAACACUAGCCACUUUGAACCAGAUGAUGGGACGAGUGCAUGGAGGACCACAACAGAGGAGUUGGGGACUGAAGACUAGAAUGAAGAUCUUUCUGAUCUUCAAGAUCUUCACUGCCUCUAAUGUGUCUUCAGUGCCUCUGCCUACCGAGAAUGUGACAAUCACUGCUGGCCAGAGAACUGACCUUGCUGUUUUGUUGGGGAAGACACCAUCUUCAAUGGAGAAUGAUUCAUCUAAUCUGGAUCCAUCUCAGGCUCCUUCUCUGGCCCAGCCACUGGUGUUUAGUAACUCGAAGCAGAGUGCCAUAUCACAGCCUGCUUCGGGGAACACAUUUUCUCAUCACAGUAUGGUGAGCAUGUUAGGGAAAGGAUUUGGUGAUGUCAGUGAAUCUAAAGGCAGCAGCAGCACCACUGCCUCCCAGUUCUUGGAGCAAUUCAAGACUGCGCAAGCCCUGGCUCAGCUGGAAGCUCAGUAUUCUGAAUCUGGAAGCAUCACCACCUCCUCUUGGGACAUGGGCUCGACAACAUAGUCCCCGUUACUGGUGCAGUAUGAUUUGAAGAACGCAAGUGAUUCAGCCAGGCUUUCACGUCAUCUUCAACCAUGAUGCAGGUGUUCCUUCAGGAGAAGCCACCUGCAGUGGCUACUUCCACAGCUGCAUCUCCACCCCCCUCUUCUCCUCUGCCAAGCAAAUCCACCUCAGCUCCACAGAUGUCACCUGGAUCUUCAGACAACCAAACCUCUAGCCCUCAGCCAGCUCAGCAGAAACUGAAACAGCAGAAGAAAAAAGCCUCCUUGACUUCUAAGAUUCCUGCUCUGGCUAUGGAGAUGCCUGGCUCAGUAGAUAUCUCAGGGCUAAACCUGCAGUUUGGGGCAUUGCAGUUUGGGUCAGAGCCUGUCCUUUCUGAUUAUGAGUCCACCCCCACCACGAGCAACUAUUCGAGCCAGGCUCCCAGUAGCCUGUAUACCAGCGCGGCCAGGGAAUCAUCAUCUACAAUUUCAUCUAACCAGAGUCAAGAGUCUGGUUAUCAGAGUGGCCCAAUUCAGUCAACAACUUAUACCUCCCAAAACAAUGCUCAGGGCCCUCUUUAUGAACAGAGAUCCACACAGACACAGUGAUACCCUGGUUGCAUCUCUUCAUCCCCCCAAAAUGACCUGACUCAGGCAAAGAAUGGCUUCAGUUCUGUGUAGGCCAUGCAGUUACAGACCACGCAAUCUGUUGAAGGUGCUACAGGCUCUGCAGUGAAAUCUGACUCACCUUCCACUUCUAGCAUCACUCCCCUCAAUGAAAUGGUAUCUGCAGCCUCCUUGUUGAUGACAACUAAUCAGCACUUAGCCUCCUUGGGUGGCUUGAGCCACAGUGAGGAGAUUCCAAAUACCACCACACCAGACAGCAGCACGUUAUCUACGCAGCAGAAUACCCUUUCGUCAUCAACAUCUUCUGGGCAUACUUCAACAUCCACUCUUUUGCACACAAGUGUGGAAAGUGAGGCGAAUCUCCAUUCUUCCUCCAGCACUUUCUCCACCACAUCCAGCACAGUCUCUGCACCUUCCCCAGUGGUCAGUGUCUCCUCUAGUCUUAAUAGUGGCAGUAGCUUGGGUCUCAGCCUAGGCAGCAACUCCACCGUCACAGCCUCAACUCAAAGCUCAGUUGCUACAACUUCAGGAAAAGCACCUCCCAACCUCCCUCCAGGGGUCCCGCCAUUGUUGCCUAAUCGGUACAUUACGGCUCCAGGGCUGUUACAUGCCUAUCUGCCACAAGCAUAUGGUUAUGAUGACUUGCAGAUGCUUCAGACAAGAUUUCCAUUGGAUUACUACAGCAUCCCAUUUCCCACACCCACCACUCCGCUGACAUGGAGAAAUGGUAGCCUGGCCAGCAACCCUUAUUCUGGUGACCUCACAAAAUUCGGUUGAGGGGAUGCCUCCUCCCCAGCCCCAGCUACAACCUUGGCCCAACCCCAACAGAACCAGAUGCAGACUCACCACACCACGCAGCAGACAUUCCUGAACCCGGCGCUGCCUCCUGGCUACAGUUACACCAGCCUACCAUAAUACACAGGGGUCCCGGGCCUCCCCAGCACCUUCCAGUAUGGGCCUGCUGUGUUCCCUGUGGCUCCUACCUCUUCCAAGCAGCAUGGUGUGAAUGUAAGCAUGAAUUCAUUGGCCACCCCUUUCCAACAGCCGAGUGGAUACGGGUCCCAUGGGUACAACACUGGAAGAAAAUAUCCACCCCCUUACAAGCAUUUCUGGACGGCUGAGAGCUAAUUUGGCGCAAGGCUGGGGGCUGUGUUUUGUG